AGAGUUUGAUCCUGGCUCAGAACGAACGCUAGCGGCGUGCCUAACACAUGCAAGUCGCACGAGAAAUCCCGGGCAACUGGGAGAGUAAAGUGGCGCACGGGUGAGUAGCGCGUGGGUAAUCUACCCUGAAGUUGGGAAUAACACCUCGAAAGGGGUGCUAAUACCGAAUGAUAUCCCCGGGAUUCCGGUCUUGGGGAUCAAAGAUGGCUGAGGCUUGCAAGCUAUUGCUUUAGGAUGAGCCCGCGUACCAUUAGCUAGUUGGUGGGGUAACGGCCCACCAAGGCCAUGAUGGUUAGCUGGUCUGAGAGGAUGGCCAGCCACACUGGAACUGAGAUACGGUCCAGACUCCUACGGGAGGCAGCAGUGAGGAAUCUUGCGCAAUGGGGGAAACCCUGACGCAGCAACGCCGCGUGAGUGAUGAAGGCCUUCGGGUCGUAAAGCUCUGUCAGAUGGGAAGAAAGUUUCGGCGGUGAACAAUCGCCGGGAUUGACGGUACCGUCAGAGGAAGCACCGGCUAACUCCGUGCCAGCAGCCGCGGUAAUACGGAGGGUGCAAGCGUUGUUCGGAAUCAUUGGGCGUAAAGAGCGUGUAGGCGGUCGGGUAAGUCAGAUGUGAAAUCCCUUGGCUUAACCAAGGAAGUGCAUUUGAAACUGCCCGGCUUGAGUACGGGAGGGGGAAGUGGAAUUCCCGGUGUAGAGGUGAAAUUCGUAGAUAUCGGGAGGAACACCGGUGGCGAAGGCGGCUUCCUGGACCGAUACUGACGCUGAGACGCGAAAAGCGUGGGGAGCAAACAGGAUUAG
rnacentral:rRNA from 1 species